rnacentral:rRNA from 1 species
CAGUACGGCGAGUGAAGCGGCAACAGCUCAAAUUUGAAAUCUGGCUCUCGGGCCCGAGUUGUAAUUUGUAGAGGAUGCUUUUGGUGAGGUGCCUUCCGAGUUCCCUGGAACGGGACGCCAUAGAGGGUGAGAGCCCCGUCUGGUUGGACGCCGAACCUCUGUAAAGCUCCUUCGACGAGUCGAGUAGUUUGGGAAUGCUGCUCUAAAUGGGAGGUAUAUGUCUUCUAAAGCUAAAUACCGGCCAGAGACCGAUAGCGCACAAGUAGAGUGAUCGAAAGAUGAAAAGAACUUUGAAAAGAGAGUUAAACAGUACGUGAAAUUGUUGAAAGGGAAGCGCUUGUGACCAGACUUGGGCUUGGUUGAUCAUCCGGGGUUCUCCCCGGUGCACUCUUCCGGCCCAGGCCAGCAUCAGUUCGCCCUGGGGGACAAAGGCAUCGGGAACGUGGCUCUCUCCGGGGAGUGUUAUAGCCCGUUGCGUAAUACCCUGUGGCGGACUGAGGUUCGCGCAUUCGCAAGGAUGCUGGCGUAAUGGUCAUCAGUGACCCGUCUUGAAACACGGACCAAGGAGUCGUCUUCGUAUGCGAGUGUUCGGGUGUCAAACCCCUACGCGAAAUGAAAGUGAACGCAGGUGAGAGCUUCGGCGCAUCAUCGACCGAUCCUGAUGUUUUCGGAUGGAUUUGAGUAAGAGCAUACGGGGCCGGACCCGAAAGAAGGUGAACUAUGCCUGUGUAGGGUGAAGCCAGAGGAAACUCUGGUGGAGGCUCGCAGCGGUUCUGACGUGCAAAUCGAUCGUCAAACAUGGGCAUG